AUUGAACGCUGGCGGAAUGCUUUACACAUGCAAGUCGAACGGCAGCACGGGGGCAACCCUGGUGGCGAGUGGCGAACGGGUGAGUAAUACAUCGGAACGUGCCCAGUCGUGGGGGAUAACGCAGCGAAAGCUGUGCUUAUACCGCAUACGAUCUAUGGAUGAAAGCGGGGGACCGUAAGGCCUCGCGCGAUUGGAGCGGCCGAUGGCAGAUUAGGUAGUUGGUGGGGUAAAGGCUCACCAAGCCGACGAUCUGUAGCUGGUCUGAGAGGACGACCAGCCACACUGGGACUGAGACACGGCCCAGACUCCUAAGGGAGGCAGCAGUGGGGAAUUUUGGACAAUGGGCGCAAGCCUGAUCCAGCCAUUCCGCGUGCAGGAUGAAGGCCCUCGGGUUGUAAACUGCUUUUGUACGGAACGAAAAGCCUUCUUCUAAUACAGGAGGGUCAUGACGGUACCGUAAGAAUAAGCACCGGCUAACUACGUGCCAGCCGCCGCCGUAA
rnacentral:rRNA from 1 species